GGAGGGGUGGCAGAGCGGUCGAAUGCGCCGGCCUUGAAAGCCGGAAACGGGCAUCAGCUCGUUCGUGGGUUCGAAUCCCACCCCCUCCG
rnacentral:tRNA from 1 species